rnacentral:rRNA from 1 species
GGCGACCGGCGGAAGGGUGCGUAACGCGUGAGCGACAUGCCCGUUGCCCGGGGACAACCGGUGGAAACGCCGACUAAUCCCCGAUGGGACGGAGGCCCUCAUGGGUCUCUGUUGAAAGUUACGGCGGCGACGGAUUGGCUCGCGUCCGAUUAGCUAGUUGGCGGGGUAACGGCCCACCAAGGCUACGAUCGGUAGGGGUUCUGAGAGGAAGGUCCCCCACAAUGGAACUGAGACACGGUCCAUACUCC